GAUAUAGGCUCAAUCCCAAACCAACCUGUAAUCUACACACCCUAUGCACCUACGGAGAUCGGUGACAAUUUGACUGGUAUAAGUCAGCUCGGUGAAUGUUCAAAUGUAUCGACCCAAGGGCAAGGUGGAUCGAUGGUCAUAUCGCUUACACUUGUCAUACCCUCUCAGAUCUCCAAAAGUGCAUCAGGCGUAGGGGUCGAUUUGGGACGAUAUGUGAUUCUACGGACGUCUGAAUCUGAAGGGUGCGAAUGGUAGAGAAGUUGUGGUGCUGACACCCGUGAUUGUAGUCGGGCAUCGUAAUCCAAACAGUUCCUACGGUCGUUGGCCUGACUCAGACUCAAAUCCUCAAAACAGCUCUUUUAAACAGAAGGCAUCAUUCCAGAUGUAAGAGCAGAGACCCACAGAGGACCUCAAACCCUCUGGGCUCGUCGCCAUGACACUGGUGCCGUCGUCGCCGGGGUUGUGGCCUGUGUUGGUCCCUGGCGUGGCCCUGCUGUUCUGCCUGGCUCUGGCGCUGCUGGGCUGUCUCAUGAGGAAGAAGAGGAGGACGGAGGGAACCUACAGGCCCAGUGCGGAGGAGUGCAAACAGACGGGGCGCCGCGGGGCCGAGAGGCCUGCCCUGCCCCUUCCACUGCCCAAGGAGGAGAGACUUAUCUGACCCAGCCCCCACCCAGCCUCCACCUGUUCAUGAACACAACCCCCCAGCCUCCACCUGUUCAUGAACCCAACCCUCCAGCCCCCACCUGUUCAUGAACCCAACCCUCCAGCCCCCACCUGUUCAUGAACCCAACCCCCCAGCCUCCACCUGUUCAUGAACCCAACCCUCCAGCCUCCACCUGUUCAUGAACCCAACCCUCCAGCCUCCACCUGUUCAUGAACCCAACCCCCCAGCCUCCACCUGUUCAUGAACCCAACCCUCCAGCAUCCACCUGUUCAGGAACCCAAGCCUCCAGCCUCCACCUGUUCAGGAACCCAACCCUCCAGCCCCCACCUGUUCAUGAACCCAACCCCCCAGCCUCCACCUGUUCAUGAACCCAACCCUCCAGCCUCCACCUGUUCAUGAACCCAACCCUCCAGCCUCCACCUGUUCAUGAACC